rnacentral:rRNA from 1 species
CAGUAGCCGCGGUAAUACGUAGGGUGCGAGCGUUAAUCGGAAUUACUGGGCGUAAAGCGUGCGCAGGCGGUUUUGUAAGACAGGCGUGAAAUCCCCGGGCUCAACCUGGGAAUGGCGCUUGUGACUGCAAAGCUAGAGUAUGGCAGAGGGGGGUGGAAUUCCACGUGUAGCAGUGAAAUGCGUAGAGAUGUGGAGGAACACCGAUGGCGAAGGCAGCCCCCUGGGCCAAUACUGACGCUCAUGCACGAAAGCGUGGGGAGCAAACAGGAUUAGAUACCCCAGUAGUCCCUGUCUCUUAUAA